UCCUGUCAAACCACCCCCUGUUCCACUGCUGGAGAGAAGUGUGCUCCUUCACUUUACAGCUUUCUUCUCUUUUUCAUCGCAACUCUGACAUGAAGCCGCUGUUCUGACUGCAGAGAUCAGAGUGAAACCUGGUCUGGGUCUCGGACCUCUGCUCCAUCUGACUGGUCCAGAGGACAAACGGGACUGAAGAUGUCUGGUGUGGAUACAGAGGAGGACAGAUCAGGUGUGGACAGCUCGUCUCCGAAGAGUGACCGGUCCAAAGAUGGAUGGCCAUACUUCAGUGGUGAAUCUGGACCUCCAGACUCAAAGUCAAAGCCUGAAGCUAAAACCAGCUGUGUGUCUCUGAAGAGUAACCGGUCCAAAGGUGUUGGAGAAGACUUCAGUGGUGAACCUGGACCUUCAGGCUCAAAAGAGAGGAAGAGGAGGAGGAGUGAAGUCUGUGAGGAGCAGCCAGAAAGAUCCAGA